AGAGUUUGAUCCUGGCUCAGGACGAACGCUGGCGGCGCGCCUAACACAUGCAAGUCGAACGAGCGAGAGAGAGCUUGCUUUCUCGAGCGAGUGGCGAACGGGUGAGUAACGCGUGAGGAACCUGCCUCAAAGAGGGGGACAACAGUUGGAAACGACUGCUAAUACCGCAUAAGCCCACGGCUCGGCAUCGAGCAGAGGGAAAAGGAGCAAUCCGCUUUGAGAUGGCCUCGCGUCCGAUUAGCUAGUUGGUGAGGUAACGGCCCACCAAGGCGACGAUCGGUAGCCGGACUGAGAGGUUGAACGGCCACAUUGGGACUGAGACACGGCCCAGACUCCUACGGGAGGCAGCAGUGGGGAAUAUUGCACAAUGGGGGAAACCCUGAUGCAGCGACGCCGCGUGGAGGAAGAAGGUCUUCGGAUUGUAAACUCCUGUUGUUGGGGAAGAUAAUGACGGUACCCAACAAGGAAGUGACGGCUAACUACGUGCCAGCAGCCGCGGUAAAACGUAGGUCACAAGCGUUGUCCGGAAUUACUGGGUGUAAAGGGAGCGCAGGCGGGAAGACAAGUUGGAAGUGAAAUCUAUGGGCUCAACCCAUAAACUGCUUUCAAAACUGUUUUUCUUGAGUAGUGCAGAGGUAGGCGGAAUUCCCGGUGUAGCGGUGGAAUGCGUAGAUAUCGGGAGGAACACCAGUGGCGAAGGCGGCCUACUGGGCACCAACUGACGCUGAGGCUCGAAAGUGUGGGUAGCAAACAGGAUUAGAUACCCUGGUAGUCCACACCGUAAACGAUGAUUACUAGGUGUUGGAGGAUUGACCCCUUCAGUGCCGCAGUUAACACAAAAAGUAAUCCACCUGGGGAGUACGACCGC
rnacentral:rRNA from 1 species